GUUGUGAACGGUGCAUGCCAGGGAUCUAGGUCACAUGCUACUUAUGAGAAUCUAAUGCCUGAUGAUCUGAGGUAGAACAGUUUCAUCUGGAAACCACCCCUCCCUGCCCUGGUGCGUGGGAUGAUUGUCUUCUACAAAACCCAUCCUGGGUGCCAAAAACGUUGGGGAUCAUUGGUAUAGACAGUGAUAAGUAACAGUCAAUGUUAUUGUUCUGCAUCAAUGGCAAGUACCAUCCUGUCCUAUUUUUAGAAGAGACAAAUAAUAACAUCAAUUAGUAAACAUUUACAUGAAUAAAUAAAUGAAAGUUGGAAAGCCAUUGUCAAUGGAGAGAACGUCUCAAUUUUUUAAUCACUGGUUCUCCUUUAUAUUCCUCAAGGUGGAGGCUGUCUUCAGUAGGAUCAUGGAGACCAACAAUGGAUGCUCUUAAACUGCUUUAAGCACACUUCCAUGGUCACAAGCCUUAUGGUUGCCACGGGGCAUGGAGACCAAUAAUGGAUGUCCUUGUUCUGAUUUGAGGAUGCCUCCAAGGUCACAUACUCUAUUUGCACCAUGCUUAGGAAGGAGCAUGAAGACCAAGGGAAGAUGAUAAACACAGAUCAAGGAGGACUGUUUCAUCUGUCUCUGAUCUGCUCUGCUCUGUGAGCCUCAAGAUGGAUGUUUGCCAGCCGAUUCCGUGGUUACAAGCUCUACAGCUGCAUCUAUGUGGUAGGAGCAUGAAGACCAAUAAUGGAUGCACUGAGCUGAUUAUGAAUUUAGCCCUGAUCAAGACUUGUGUUGCUGUCAUGAUAUGAAAGAUUCCAGUAAUGAACGCACUUGAGUUGAUUCAAGCACGCUUCCAUGGUCAUGAGCUCUGUGGUUGCAUCUGUGUGUUAGGAGUAUGCAGACCAAUAUGGAUCAGAAUGGAUGCAUCAAGUGGGCUUCUGCUUGAUGGAAACCUGUAUUGCUGUUGUGUUUGGAAAGAAACUAAUGUGAGUAAUAGCCAAAAUUUUUGUCUUCCUUUGGGUACUUGUCUAAAGGUAUUCACAGUAUUAUUAAAAAUUUUAAAUUAUUAUAAUUAACCAUGGCCCAAUGAUUAACAUAAUAUAGAAGAGUAUGUUUAUGAAUCAAUAAUGUGCCACGUAGAGGUGAAUGAAUGCAAGUGACAUUGUCUAAUGUGGAAAAGGAUUCUGUAGACAGAUGCUUGGUAUGUCUGGCAUCGUGUUCAUAGGUUUUUGUGAAUCAUGUUCUUAU